rnacentral:ncRNA from 1 species
AAUAGGCUUCGGCUUAGCGUCUUAGCAGGCGAUUCCUCCACUGCUCUCGAAGCGAGUAGUGGUAUUUCGCGAAUUGUAAUUUCAGCACGAGCGGGGUCAAAUCCUUUGCAGACGACUUAGAUGUGCGAAAGGGUCCUGUAAGCAGUAGAGUAGCCUUGUUGUUACGAUCUGCUGAGGGUAAGCCCUCCUUCGCCUCGAUUUCC